AGUGAACGCUGGCGGUAGGCCUAACACAUGCAAGUCGAACGGCAGCACAGUAAGAGCUUGCUCUUACGGGUGGCGAGUGGCGGACGGGCGAGGAAUACAUCGGAAUCUACUUUUUCGUGGGGGAUAACGUAGGGAAACUUACGCUAAUACCGCAUACGACCUACGGGUGAAAGCAGGGGAUCUUCGGACCUUGCGCGAUUGAAUGAGCCGAUGUCGGAUUAGCUAGUUGGCGGGGUAAAGGCCCACCAAGGCGACGAUCCGUAGCUGGUCUGAGAGGAUGAUCAGCGACACUGGAACUGAGACACGGUCCAGACUCCUACGGGAGGCAGCAGUGGGGAAUAUUGGACAAUGGGCGCAAGCCUGAUCCAGCCAUACCGCGUGGGUGAAGAAGGCCUUCGGGUUGUAAAGCCCUUUUGUUGGGAAAGAAAAGCAGCAGGUUAAUACCCCGCUGUUCUGACGGUACCCAAAGAAUAAGCACCGGCUAACUUCGUG
rnacentral:rRNA from 1 species